rnacentral:rRNA from 1 species
GACGAACGCUGGCGGCGUGCUUAACACAUGCAAGUCGAACGGAGUGGCGAACGGGUGAGUAACACGUGGGUGACCUGCCCUGCACUUCGGGAUAAGCCUGGGAAACUGGUUCUAAUACCGGAUAGUGUGGGAUGGGCCCGCGGCCUAUCAGCUUGUUGGUGGGGUAAUGGCCUACCAAGGCGGCGACGGUUAGCCGGCCGGGGAGGGUGGACGGCCACAUGAGUACUGAGACACGGACCAGACUCCUACGGGGGGCAGCAGUGGGGAAUAUUGCACAAUGAGCGGAAGCCUGAUGCAGCGACGCCGCGUGGGUAAUGACGGCCUUCGGGUUGUAAACUCCUUUCACCAUCUACGUGGUAGAUGGAGAAGAAGCACCGGCUAACUACGUGCCAGCAGCCGCGGUAAUAC